UUUAUGACCCUUCUCUAAACUUAUUUAAUUUUUCCCCUUUAAUUAAAAAAAAAACUCCUGCCCAAUUUUUUCUUUUUUUUUUUAUUCGCACUGCUGCUUCGUGAGAGUAAUAUCCACCAUCUUUGGCCGCUCACUAUUCCUAUCAGACGACACCAUUUUUGAACUUCAAAAAAGAUUAAAACUUGAAACCUAGAUUGAGUUGGGUCAUUUUGAAAACUCACCAAGAAUCUGAAUGAAUUGAAGCUACAAUUAUCGACCCAAAAUCCCCCUUUAACUGGAAUUUCCAAAUAGUAAGCAUUUUCUUGAUUUAUUUUCCUGUCAUUUGGUAUAAAUUUCAGUAUGCUGUUUGUUAUUAGACACCAUUUUGUUCAUUUCUGGUCAAAAUCAACUCUUUUGUGUAUUAAAGAUUCUAGCUUUAGUAAAAUUACUUGCUUGAACACUUUAUAUGUAUACCCUUUUAGGUAUAGUUUUAGAAAUUUGUAUUCUUGGACUCAAAUGUACUGCCCAUCAAAUUCUAGACUACUUUUCUCUCAGACCCAAUUUGGUGUCUUAGCUAUAAAACCAUCCCUAUAUGUGUUUCUGCAUCAAUGGUUGCCCGUUAGUUUCUAUUCUUCAAGUGCACCUGGAUGGCUAAGAGGACCACCAUCAAGAUCUUUAAGGAAAAGGAUGAAUAGAAGAGCAAGAAUUGCAGCAAUGCCUGUUCUUGAUGAAUCCCAGUUUCAAAAUGCUGUGUCUCAGCUUCCACCUAGAUUUACCCCUGAAGAACUGAGGGAUGUCAUGGUUUUGCAAAGAGAUCCUUUAGUGUGUUUGGAGUUGUUCAAUUGGGCGUCGAAACAGCACAGGUUCAGGCAUAAUGUUUCGACGUACCAUGUUGCAGUACAAAGGCUUGGUGAAGCGAAUAUGUAUAAAGAAAUGGAUGAUAUUGUUAAUCAAGUGCUUGCCAUACCAUCGAUUGGAACUGAGGAACUUUUCAAUUCGAUGAUUUAUUAUUUCACUGAAGCUAGGAAGUUGACAAGAGCUGUGAUGAUAUAUAAGCAUAUGUUAAACAUUAGGAAAUUUGAUUGUAGGCCGUCGAUUAAAACUUAUAAUAUUCUUUUCGCGGCGCUUCUUAGUAGGAGGAAUAAUUCAUAUAUAAAUCACAUGUACAUGGACGCUAUAAGGUCUCUGUUCAAGCAAAUGGUUGAUAAUGGGAUUGAACCAGAUAUAAUUUCCUUGAAUACUUUGAUUAAAGGAUAUGUGCUUUCGCUUCAUGUAAAUGAUGCUCUUAGGAUAUUUCACCAAAUGGGUGUGGUUUACCAGUGCGAGCCUAACUCAUUUUCAUAUGAUUAUCUGAUUCACGGGUUAUGUGCACAAGGAAGAACAAAGAAUGCUAAGGAAAUUUAUGAUAAAAUGAAAUGCAAAAGAUUGAUACCUAGUACUAAAUCAUACAACUCGCUCGUGAACUCUUUGUCUCUUGGAGGAGAGGUUGAUGAGGCUGUGAAAUUCUUGUGGGAGAUGAAUGAAAAUCGAAGAACAAUUGACUUCAUCACCUUCAGAACAGUAAUUGAUGAAGUCUGCCGGCAAAAGAGUAUGCAAGAUGCCAUAGACUUGUUGAAGGAGUUACAGGAUAAGGGCCUUGUCGAUAGUCUUACCCAUAGCAAACUUCUGCGUGAAUUUGAAGAUGACAUUGAUAAUCUAUAUGUCAGAAAUCGUUAAAGCUAAGCUAGGAAAAUAAUCCGACAUGGUGGCUUUGGGGGGAAAACAGUUUCUAUUGCCUGGAGCUGAACCUAUGGAGUGCUUGGCUUGAGACAUUGGCAGGCUGCAUGCAGUCUAGUUUAUCAAGGGGUGGCAAGCAAGAACUCAUUUUUCGUGGAGAAAUGAGAGAGCUGCCGGAACACCAGAAAAUUUUCUUCAUGGAAGAUGUAUUUGCAUCUAAUAUGGAAUGAGGAGCAAGAGUCAAGAGACGAGAUGAAUCACUUCAAAAUAUUUCUUCGUAGGAAUAGCAGCCCGGUGCAUUAAACUCCCUCUAGAGUGGGAAGACCAAUGAAGAUGCCUCGAUUUGAACUCGUGAGUCGUGACAGCUAGUACAAGAGACGAGGUGCCUGACCAAAUGAACUGUGUAGCUCUUCUUAUGAGAUACAUUGUGUAGUUGUUUUCCUUCUACUAAAGCUAUACACAGCUAACUUAUUAGCUUUGCUUGGAAAGUAUACUUUCUUUUAUGGAAAAAUGACUUUUUGUCAUAUCAAAUACAUCCUUAAAGUUUGAACUUUUACUCCCUUUA